UACGGAGGGUGCGAGCGUUGUCCGGAAUCAUUGGGCGUAAAGGGCGCGUAGGUGGCCCGGUCAGUUCGUGGUGAAAGCGCGGGGCUCAACCCUGCGUCGGCCAUGAAUACUGCCGCGGCUGGAGCACUGUAGAGGCAAGCGGAAUUCCGGGUGUAGCGGUGGAAUGCGUAGAGAUCCGGAAGAACACCGGUGGCGAAGGCGGC
rnacentral:rRNA from 1 species